rnacentral:rRNA from 1 species
CCAAUCAAACUCGGAGAUAGCUGGUUCUCCGCGAAAUCUAUUUAGGUAGAGCGUCAUCCGAAUACCCCGGGGGGUAGAGCACUGGAUGGGUAAUGGGGCCCCACAGGCUUACUGAUCCUAACCAAACUCCGAAUACCCGGGAGUACUAGAUGGCAGACACACGGCGGAUGCUAACGUCCGUCGUGGAGAGGGAAACAACCCUGACCUACAGCUAAGGCCCCCAAUUCAUGGCUAAGUGGGAAAGCAGGUGGGACGACCAAAACAACCAGGAGGUUGGCUUAGAAGCAGCCAUCCUUUAAAGAUAGCGUAACAGCUCACUGGUCUAAUUAAGUUGUCCUGCGGCGAAGAUGUAACGGGGCUCAAGCCAUGAGCCGAAGCUUAGGAUGCAUUUAAUGCAUGGUAGCGGAGCGUAGUGUGACAUAGCACCGUUCCUCUUUUGCGGUUUGGUAUGAGCAAUCAUACCCUGCGUAAUGGAGGAUAUGGUGUUUUCUGUGAAGCCGGGCUGUAAGGCAUCCGGUGGAGAGAUCACUAGUGAGAAUGAUGACAUGAGUAGCGACAAAGAGUGUGAGAGACACUCUCGCCGAAAAUCCAAGGGUUCCUGCUUAAAGCUAAUCUGAGCAGGGUGAGCCGACCCCUAAGUCGAGGCCGAAAGGCGUAGACGAUGGGAACCAGGUUAAUAUUCCUGGGCCAGGAGGAUGUGACGGAUUGUGAAGGUUGUUUCCCCUUAUUGGAUUGGGGAGGCCGCUGAUCAGUUCCUGGAAAUAGCCCUCCAUGAGAUCGUACCCUAAACCGACACAGGUGGAUAGGUAGAGAAUACCAAGGCGCUUGAGAGAACUACGUUGAAGGAACUCGGCAAAAUACCUCCGUAAGUUCGCGAGAAGGAGGCCCAGUUUCUACGCAAGUAUUGGCUGGGGGCACAAACCAGGGGGUGGCGACUGUUUACUAAAAACACAGGGCUCUGCGAAGUCGCAAGACGACGUAUAGGGUCUGACGCCUGCCCGGUGCCUGAAGGUUAAAAGGAGAUGUGAGAGCGUCGAAUUGAAGCCCAGGUAAACGGCGGCCGUAACUAUAACGGUCCUAAGGUAGCGAAAUUCCUUGUCGGG